UACGAAGGGGGCUAGCGUUGCUCGGAAUUACUGGGCGUAAAGCGCACGUAGGCGGCUUUCUAAGUCGGGGGUGAAAUCCUGGAGCUCAACUCCAGAACUGCCUUCGACUACUGGAGAGCUUGAGUCCGGGAGAGGGUGAGUGGAACUGCGAGUGUAGAGGUGAAAUUCGUAGAUAUUCGCAAGAACACCAGUGGCGAAGGCGGCUCACUGGCCCGGUACUGACGCUGAGGUGCGAAAGCGUGGGGAGCAAACAGG
rnacentral:rRNA from 1 species